rnacentral:rRNA from 1 species
AUGCAAGUCGAGCGGCAGCGCGGGGCAACCUGGCGGCGAGCGGCGGACGGGUGAGGAAUUCGUCGGAAUCUGCCUAUUUGUGGGGGAUAACGUAGGGAAACUUACGCUAAUACCGCAUACGACCUACGGGUGAAAGUGGGGGACCGCAAGGCCUCACGCAGAUAGAUGAGCCGACGACCGAUUAGCUAGUUGGUGGGGUAAAGGCUCACCAAGGCGACGAUCGGUAGCUGGUCUGAGAGGAUGAUCAGCCACACUGGGACUGAGACACGGCCCAGACUCCUACGGGAGGCAGCAGUGGGGAAUAUUGGACAAUGGGCGCAAGCCUGAUCCAGCCAUGCCGCGUGUGUGAAGAAGGCCUUCGGGUUGUAAAGCACUUUUGUCCGGAAAGAAAUCCUUCAACUUAAUACGUUGGGGGGAUGACGGUACCGGAAGAAUAAGCACCGGCUAACUUCGUGCCAGCAGCCGCGGUAAUACGAAGGGUGCAAGCGUUACUCGGAAUUACUGGGCGUAAAGCGUGCGUAGGCGGUCUGUUAAGUCUGAUGUGAAAUCCCCGGGCUCAACCUGGGACCUGCAUUGGAUACUGGCGGGCUAGAGUACGGUAGAGGGUUGGUGGAAUUCCCGGUGUACCAGUGAAAUGCGUAGAGAUCGGUAGGAACACUCGUGGCUAAGGCGGCCACCUGCACCAGUAGUGACUCUGACG